rnacentral:tRNA from 2 species
GGCGGUGUAGCUCAGCUGGCUAGAGCAUACGGUUCAUACCCGUAAGGUCGGGGGUUCGAUCCCCUCUGCCGCCACCA